rnacentral:rRNA from 1 species
UACGAGGGGGGCAAGCGUUGUUCGGAAUUAUUGGGCGUAAAGGGCGCGUAGGCGGUCUGACAAGUCUGAUGUGAAAUCUAUGGGCUCAACCCAUAGCCUGCAUUAGAAACUGUCGGGCUUGAGUAUGGGAGAGGUGAGUGGAAUUUCCGGUGUAGCGGUGAAAUGCGUAGAUAUCGGAAGGAACACCUGUGGCGAAAGCGGCUCACUGGACCAUAACUGACGCUGAGGCGCGAAAGCUAGGGGAGCAAACAGG